UACGUAGGUGGCAAGCGAUACUCGGAAUCACUAGGCGUAAAGCGCAGGUAGGCGGUUUGGUAAGUCUUUUGUGAAAGCUCCUGGCUCAACUGGGAGAGGUCAAGGGAAACUACCGGACUAGAGUGUGGUAGGGGAUACUGGAAUUCCUGGUGUAGCGGUGAAAUGCGUAGAUAUCAGGAGGAACACCGGUGGCGAAGGCGGCGUUCUGGACUGCAACUGACACUGAGGAACGAAAGCCAGGGGAGCAAACGGG
rnacentral:rRNA from 1 species